GUGAGAUUGUAAGUAAUCACCAGCCAUGAUGGAGAAAAAGAGCAAUGAAGGAGAUGGAGGUCAGAUGCCCAGUCGUCAAAGAGCAUUCUCUCAGGAAUUGAAGUUCAAUUACUACAAAGAUGUUCCCAGUAUCAAUGGAAAAUCAUAUUUCUGCGAGAGCUUCAGUGGUCAAUUUCUUAAAGAAAAAUAAACAUGUUCCUAAAAGCC
ensembl:lincRNA